AUGGCGGCUCUGGUCACGUCCCAGCUCGCCACCUCCGGCACCGUCCUCGGCAUCACCGACAGGUUCCGGCGUGCAGGUUUCCAGGGCGUGAGGCCCCGGAGCCCGGCGGAUGCGGCUCUCGGCAUGAGGACCGUCGGAGCUAGCGCCGCCCCAACGCAAAGCCGGAAAGCGCACCGCGGGACCCGGCGGUGCCUCUCCAUGGUGGUGCGCGCCACCGGCAGCGGCGGCAUGAACCUCGUGUUCGUCGGCGCCGAGAUGGCGCCCUGGAGCAAGACCGGCGGCCUCGGCGACGUCCUCGGGGGCCUCCCCCCAGCCAUGGCCGCCAACGGCCACCGGGUCAUGGUCAUCUCCCCGCGCUACGACCAGUACAAGGACGCCUGGGACACCAGCGUCGUCUCCGAGAUCAAGGUCGUUGACAAGUACGAGAGGGUGAGGUACUUCCACUGCUACAAGCGCGGGGUGGACCGCGUGUUCGUCGACCACCCGUGCUUCCUGGAGAAGGUCCGGGGCAAGACCAAGGAGAAGAUCUACGGGCCCGACGCCGGCACGGACUACGAGGACAACCAGCAGCGCUUCAGCCUUCUCUGCCAGGCGGCGCUGGAAGUGCCGAGGAUCCUGAACCUCGACAAUAACCCCUACUUUUCUGGGCCCUACGGGGAGGACGUGGUGUUCGUGUGCAAUGACUGGCACACGGGCCUUCUGGCCUGCUACCUCAAGAGCAACUACCAGUCCAAUGGCAUCUACAGGGCCGCAAAGGUGGCAUUCUGCAUCCACAACAUCUCGUACCAGGGCCGCUUCUCCUUCGACGACUUCGCGCAGCUCAACCUGCCCGACAGGUUCAAGUCGUCCUUCGACUUCAUCGACGGCUACGACAAGCCGGUGGAGGGGCGCAAGAUCAACUGGAUGAAGGCCGGGAUCCUGCAGGCCGACAAGGUGCUGACGGUGAGCCCCUACUACGCGGAGGAGCUCAUCUCUGGCGAAGCCAGGGGCUGCGAGCUCGACAACAUCAUGCGCCUCACUGGGAUCACCGGCAUCGUCAACGGCAUGGAUGUUAGCGAGUGGGACCCCACCAAGGACAAGUUCCUCGCCGUCAACUACGACAUCACCACCGCGUUGGAGGGGAAGGCGCUGAACAAGGAGGCGCUGCAGGCCGAGGUGGGGCUGCCGGUGGACCGGAAGGUGCCCCUGGUGGCGUUCAUCGGCAGGCUGGAGGAGCAGAAGGGCCCCGACGUGAUGAUCGCCGCCAUCCCGGAGAUCCUGAAGGAGGAGGACGUCCAGAUCGUUCUCCUGGGCACCGGGAAGAAGAAGUUCGAGCGGCUACUCAAGAGCAUUGAGGAGAAAUUCCCGAGCAAGGUGAGGGCCGUGGUCAGGUUCAACGCGCCGCUGGCUCACCAGAUGAUGGCCGGCGCCGACGUGCUCGCCGUCACCAGCCGCUUCGAGCCCUGCGGCCUCAUCCAGCUCCAGGGGAUGCGCUACGGAACGCCGUGCGCGUGCGCGUCCACCGGCGGGCUUGUCGACACGAUCGUGGAGGGCAAGACCGGGUUCCACAUGGGCCGGCUCAGUGUCGAUUGCAACGUGGUGGAGCCGGCCGACGUGAAGAAGGUGGUGACCACCCUGAAGCGCGCCGUCAAGGUCGUCGGCACGCCGGCAUACCAUGAGAUGGUCAAGAACUGCAUGAUACAGGAUCUCUCCUGGAAGGGGCCAGCCAAGAACUGGGAGGACGUGCUUCUGGAACUGGGUGUCGAGGGGAGCGAGCCGGGGGUCAUCGGCGAGGAGAUUGCGCCGCUCGCCAUGGAGAACGUCGCCGCUCCCUGA
rnacentral:rRNA from 1 species